CCUACGGGUGGCUGCAGUGGGGGAUAUUGCACAAUGGGGGAAACCCUGAUGCAGCGACGCCGCGUGUGGGAAGACGGUCCUCUGGAUUGUAAACCACUGUCCCCAGGGACGAAAAUGACGGUACCUGGGGAGGAAGCUCCGGCUAACUACGUGCCAGCAGCCGCGGUAAUACGUAGGGAGCGAGCGUUGUCCGGAAGUACUGGGUGUCAAGGGAGCGUAGGCGGGGAUGCAAGUUGGGUGUCAAAACUACCGGCUCAACUGGUAGUCGCACGCAAAACUGCAGCUGUUGAGUGAAGUAGAGGCAGGCGGAAUUCCGAGUGUAGCGGUGAAAGGCGGAGAUAUUAGGAGGAACACCAGUGGCGAAGGCGGCCUGCUGGGCUUUUACUGACGCUGAGGCUCGAAAGUGUGGGGAGCAAACAGGAUUAGAUACCCUUGUAGUC
rnacentral:rRNA from 1 species